UGAUUUCAAAUGUUUGAGAUUGUGCGGU
rnacentral:sRNA from 1 species